rnacentral:rRNA from 1 species
GAUGAACGCUGGCGGCGUGCCUAAUACAUGCAAGUCGAGCGAACGGACGAGAAGCUUGCUUUUCUGAUGUUAGCGGCGGACGGGUGAGUAACACGUGGAUAACCUACCUAUAAGACUGGGAUAACUUCGGGAAACCUGAGCUAAUACCGGAUAAUAUUUUGAACCGCAUGGUUCAUAAGUGAAAGACGGUCUUGCUGUCCCUUAUAGUUGUAUCCGCGUUGCAUUAGUAAGUUGGUAAGGUAACGGCUAACCAAGGCAACGAUGCAUAGCCGACCUGAGAGGAUGAUCGGCCACACUGGAACUUAGACACGGUCCAGACUCCUACGGGAGGCAGAAGUGGGGAAUCUUGGGCAAUGGGCGAAAGCCUGACGGAGCACCGCCGCGUGAGUGAUGAAGGUCUUCGGAUCGUAAAACCCUGUUAUUAGGGAGGAAGAGAUGUGUAAGUAAAUGUGCACAUCUUGACGGUACCUAAUCAGAAAGCCACGGCUAACUACGUG